AACGUUAUGCCAAACUCUUCAUGC
rnacentral:siRNA from 1 species